UACGAGGGACCUAGCGUUGUUCGGAAUCAUUGGGCGUAAAGGGGUGCGUAGGCGGCCUUACAAGUCAGUUGUGAAAUCCCCGGGCUCAACCCGGGAAGUGCUUCUGAUACUGUUUGGCUUGAGUACUGGAGAGGUGAGUGGAAUUCCAGGUGUAGUGGUGAAAUACGUAGAUAUCUGGAGGAACACCGGUGGCGAAGGCGGCUCACUGGCCAUGUACUGACGCUGAAGCACGAAAAGCGACGGGGAUCAAACAGG
rnacentral:rRNA from 1 species